rnacentral:rRNA from 1 species
ACACUCCUACGGGAGGCAGCAGUGGGGAAUUUUGGACAAUGGGCGAAAGCCUGAUCCAGCCAUGCCGCGUGCAGGAUGAAGGCCUUCGGGUUGUAAACUGCUUUUGUACGGAACGAAACGGCCUUUUCUAAUAAAGAGGGCUAAUGACGGUACCGUAAGAAUAAGCACCGGCUAACUACGUGCCAGCAGCCGCGGUAAUACGUAGGGUGCAAGCGUUAAUCGGAAUUACUGGGCGUAAAGCGUGCGCAGGCGGUUAUGUAAGACAGUUGUGAAAUCCCCGGGCUCAACCUGGGAACUGCAUCUGUGACUGCAUAGCUAGAGUACGGUAGAGGGGGAUGGAAUUCCGCGUGUAGCAGUGAAAUGCGUAGAUAUGCGGAGGAACACCGAUGGCGAAGGCAAUCCCCUGGACCUGUACUGACGCUCAUGCACGAAAGCGUGGGGAGCAAACAGGAUUAGAAACCCGGGUAGUCCC